UUAAGCGACUAAGCGUACACGGUGGAUGCCCUGGCAGUCAGAGGCGAUGAAGGACGUGCUAAUCUGCGAAAAGCGCCGGCGAGGUGAUAUGAACCUUUGACCCGGCGAUGUCCGAAUGGGGAAACCCAGUGUGAUUCGUCACACUAUCGUUAACUGAAUACAUAGGUUAACGAGGCGAACCGGGGGAACUGAAACAUCUAAGUACCCCGAGGAAAAGAAAUCAACCGAGAUUCCCCCAGUAGCGGCGAGCGAACGGGGAGCAGCCCGGAGUCUGAAUCAGCUUGUGUGUUAGUGGAACGGUCUGGAAAGUCCGACGGUACAGGGUGAUAGUCCCGUACACGAAAAUGCACAGGUUGUGAACUCGAAGAGUAGGGCGGGACACGUGGUAUCCUGUCUGAAUAUGGGGGGACCAUCCUCCAAGGCUAAAUACUCCUGACUGACCGAUAGUGAACCAGUACCGUGAGGGAAAGGCGAAAAGAACCCCGGCGAGGGGAGUGAAAAAGAACCUGAAACCGUGUACGUACAAGCAGUGGGAGCCUACUUGUUAGGUGACUGCGUACCUUUUGUAUAAUGGGUCAGCGACUUAUAUUCUGUAGCAAGGUUAACCGUAUAGGGGAGCCGAAGGGAAACCGAGUCUUAACUGGGCGUUAAGUUGCAGGGUAUAGACCCGAAACCCGGUGAUCUAGCCAUGGGCAGGUUGAAGGUUGGGUAACACUAACUGGAGGACCGAACCGACUAAUGUUGAAAAAUUAGCGGAUGACCUGUGGCUGGGGGUGAAAGGCCAAUCAAACCGGGAGAUAGCUGGUUCUCCCCGAAAGCUAUUUAGGUAGCGCCUCGUGAACUCAUCUUCGGGGGUAGAGCACUGUUUCGGCUAGGGGGCCAUCCCGGCUUACCAACCCGAUGCAAACUACGAAUACCGAAGAAUGUUAUCACGGGAGACACACGGCGGGUGCUAACGUCCGUCGUGAAGAGGGAAACAACCCAGACCGCCAGCUAAGGUCCCAAAGUCAUGGUUAAGUGGGAAACGAUGUGGGAAGGCACAGACAGCCAGGAUGUUGGCUUAGAAGCAGCCAUCAUUUAAAGAAAGCGUAAUAGCUCACUGGUCGAGUCGGCCUGCGCGGAAGAUGUAACGGGGCUAAACCAUGCACCGAAGCUGCGGCAGCGACACUAUGUGUUGUUGGGUAGGGGAGCGUUCUGUAAGCCGUUGAAGGUGGCCUGUGAGGGUUGCUGGAGGUAUCAGAAGUGCGAAUGCUGACAUAAGUAACGAUAAAGCGGGUGAAAAGCCCGCUCGCCGGAAGACCAAGGGUUCCUGUCCAACGUUAAUCGGGGCAGGGUGAGUCGACCCCUAAGGCGAGGCCGAAAGGCGUAGUCGAUGGGAAACAGGUUAAUAUUCCUGUACUUGGUGUUACUGCGAAGGGGGGACGGAGAAGGCUAUGUUAGCCGGGCGACGGUUGUCCCGGUUUAAGCAUGUAGGCGGAGGUUCCAGGUAAAUCCGGUACCUUAUUAACGCUGAGGUGUGAUGACGAGGCACUACGGUGCUGAAGUAACAAAUGCCCUGCUUCCAGGAAAAGCCUCUAAGCAUCAGGUAACACGAAAUCGUACCCCAAACCGACACAGGUGGUCAGGUAGAGAAUACCAAGGCGCUUGAGAGAACUCGGGUGAAGGAACUAGGCAAAAUGGUGCCGUAACUUCGGGAGAAGGCACGCUGAUAUGUAGGUGAAGCCCCUGCGGGUGGAGCUGAAAUCAGUCGAAGAUACCAGCUGGCUGCAACUGUUUAUUAAAAACACAGCACUGUGCAAACACGAAAGUGGACGUAUACGGUGUGACGCCUGCCCGGUGCCGGAAGGUUAAUUGAUGGGGUUAGCGGUAACGCGAAGCUCUUGAUCGAAGCCCCGGUAAACGGCGGCCGUAACUAUAACGGUCCUAAGGUAGCGAAAUUCCUUGUCGGGUAAGUUCCGACCUGCACGAAUGGCGUAAUGAUGGCCAGGCUGUCUCCACCCGAGACUCAGUGAAAUUGAACUCGCUGUGAAGAUGCAGUGUACCCGCGGCAAGACGGAAAGACCCCGUGAACCUUUACUAUAGCUUGACACUGAACACUGGUCCUUGAUGUGUAGGAUAGGUGGGAGGCUUUGAAGCGUGGACGCCAGUCUGCGUGGAGCCGACCUUGAAAUACCACCCUUUAAUGGCUGGUGUUCUAACGUAGACCCGUAAUCCGGGUUGCGGACAGUGUCUGGUGGGUAGUUUGACUGGGGCGGUCUCCUCCCAAAGAGUAACGGAGGAGCACGAAGGUUAGCUAAUCCUGGUCGGACAUCAGGAGGUUAGUGCAAUGGCAUAAGCUAGCUUGACUGCGAGAGUGACGGCUCGAGCAGGUGCGAAAGCAGGUCAUAGUGAUCCGGUGGUUCUGAAUGGAAGGGCCAUCGCUCAACGGAUAAAAGGUACUCCGGGGAUAACAGGCUGAUACCGCCCAAGAGUUCAUAUCGACGGCGGUGUUUGGCACCUCGAUGUCGGCUCAUCACAUCCUGGGGCUGAAGUAGGUCCCAAGGGUAUGGCUGUUCGCCAUUUAAAGUGGUACGCGAGCUGGGUUUAGAACGUCGUGAGACAGUUCGGUCCCUAUCUGCCGUGGGCGCUGGAGAAUUGAGGGGGGCUGCUCCUAGUACGAGAGGACCGGAGUGGACGCAUCACUGGUGUUCGGGUUGUCAUGCCAAUGGCACUGCCCGGUAGCUAAAUGCGGAAGAGAUAAGUGCUGAAAGCAUCUAAGCACGAAACUUGCCCCGAGAUGAGUUCUCCCUGAGACUUUAAGUCUCCUGAAGGAACGUUGAAGACGACGACGUUGAUAGGUCGGGUGUGUAAGCGCAGCGAUGCGUUGAGCUAACCGAUACUAAUGAACCGUGAGGCUUAACCU
rnacentral:rRNA from 1 species